CAGAUGCGAGUCCUGCAAGCAAGGAAGGCUAGAAGCUGGGAAGAUGGAAGAAAAGAGGAUCUGGUUUGGGCAGAUACUGGAAGGAAACAGGCCCAUGCCUGAGCUUCUCUGUCCUGCCGGUUUUGCCCACGAACUUUGCCCUGCUUCGUACAGCUGGAGUGGGAACCUGCAGACAUUUUUCUUGGCCAGUUGGUGCAACGUGAAGCUUUGUUGGGAAAAAGGUGCUUUCCGGGUCCCUCAGAGCCUCAGAAAACCUAGUGAAACCCGUCUCCAGUGAACCCAGUGAAGCUUGCCAUAUUGAAGGCGCUUUGGUGCAAUGGAAAAAGGACCAAACUGGGAAUCAGACCAUGUAGACACCAUCUCAUCAACCACCAAUCAGGUAUGUUACUUCAGCUAUCACACACUCAAGAGUCCAGAGAGAGGUGGAUUUUGAUCAUUUAUAUGGGCUUCUCUCAUGGUUCAGCUGGUAAAGAAUCUGCAUGCAAUGCGGAAGACCUGAGUUUGA